AACGGGGUCUACUGCAUGACCAUCAAGGACGUCUGCAUGAACGACUACGGCCCUGUGGCGGUUGUGGCUAAGAGUUUGGUAGGCGAGUGUGCGUCUGCCGCCAAGUUCUCGCAGAAGAAAAUACCGUGCGAGGUGGUUGAGGGCCUCGAGAACGUCACCAAGGGCGCCGAAGGGGAUGACGUCACUCUCACCGUCAAGAUUAGGG